rnacentral:misc_RNA from 1 species
GCAAACUUGGUCAUUUAGAGGAAGUAAAAGUCGUAACAAGGUUUCCGUAGGUGAACCUGCGGAAGGAUCAUUAAUGAAAUGCAAGGACGUUCUUUUUAGAAGUCCGACCCAAUUCAUCCUUUCACCCUGUGCACUUAACAUUUUAACACCCAUUUUAUAAACACGUAAAGUCAUAUGAAUGUCAUAAAGUCUCUUAAUUGAGCAUAAAAGUUAUAAAACUUUCGGCAACGGAUCUCUUGGCUCCCGCAUCGAUGAAGAACGCAGC